ACGGGGGGUGCGAGCGUUGUCCGGAAUCACUGGGCGUAAAGGGCUCGUAGGCGGUUUGUCGCGUCGGGAGUGAAAACUCAGGGCUUAACUCUGAGCCGGCUUCCGAUACGGGCAGACUAGAGGUAUGCAGGGGAGAACGGAAUUCCUGGUGUAGCGGUGAAAUGCGCAGAUAUCAGGAGGAACACCGGUGGCGAAGGCGGGUCUCUGGGCCGAUACUGACGCUGAGGAGCGAAAGCGUGGGGAGCGAACAGGA
rnacentral:rRNA from 1 species